rnacentral:lncRNA from 1 species
CUGCAGGGUCCGCUAACUUCCACAGGGUCUCAUUGGGUCUCGCUCCUCUAGCUAGAGGAUUCGUGCAGAGAAGCCACGUUCUAGUCCGGAAGUCUCCAUGACCCAGUUCCUCAGCCUCCUUACUUACUUUGGCUGGCGUUUGGUCUCCGGUGCGAGAGCAGAAGUGGAAUUGAGAACAGAGAGGAUGCGGAUUUGGUGGCUACGCAAAGCUUCAAGGGGUCUGACUAGAACAGUUCCUGCGGCCUUCCUGUGGUUGGAGACACACAGCUAACUCUGACCAGUGAGCGGACACGCGAAGUAACAUGUCCCUUCCUCUUCCCAAAUAGUCUUUCUUCUGCUUUCAUGCCUUUAAAAAGAAAAAUCUAGAUUUUUGCACUUGGGAGAAAACACGUAACAUCUACCUCUCCGAGUCAGGCUUAUUUCUGCUGAAGUUCCAUCCAUGUGAACGACGUCACCACGAGCUCCUUCCUAACUGAAUAAAACUCCGAGCUGUCU